AAUCUCUUGGACCCCUGUAGUACA
rnacentral:miRNA from 1 species